CCUUCAUCGAAGGUUUGCAGGCUGCAUUGACGCCUGGAGGGAGCAAAAAAUUAUGAGUCAGAGCCUGGCCGCUGAGCUGUGUGAUCACGGACAGGUUAGUUAACGCUUCCGUGCCUCGGUUUACCCCUCUGCGCAUUGGGAUCCGCCCCAUAGGGCGGUGGCAAGGCUUCACCCAGCUAGCGCACAUAAAACACUUAGAACAGCGCUCGAGACUUUAGACGUGGUGAGAAAGAUAUUAAAAUGAUGCCCUUGUUGCGCUGUGAGCUGGGGACAACGUCCCCUCCCCCAACGGCGACUGCUUUGCACAAUCGUUCACAGGAGGCGGCUCUUCUGCAUAGUGAAAAUGCCAGUAAGAGAAAGAAAAUGCUGACUUCCCACAGCCUGCAGCAACAGCGAGGAGGGACUUUUAGUGCCAAAGGGACUUUUAGCUGAGUAAUAAAGCAAUAUUCCUCCUGAA